rnacentral:rRNA from 1 species
UGGGGAAUAUUGCGCAAUGGGGGAAACCCUGACGCAGCGACGCCGCGUGUGGGAUGAAGGUCUUCGGAUUGUAAACCACUGUCGCGAGGGACGAAGCUCUGACGGUACCUCGAAAGGAAGCACCGGCUAACUCUGUGCCAGCAGCCGCGGUAAUACAGAGGGUGCGAGCGUUGUCCGGAAUCACUGGGCGUAAAGGGCGCGUAGGCGGCCCGGUAAGUAGGGGGUGAAAUCUCAUGGCUCAACUGUGAGGCUGCCUUCUAGACUGCCAGGCUUGAGCACAGUAGAGGCGAGUGGAAUUCCCGGUGUAGCAGUGAAAUGCGUAGAGAUGUGGAGGAACACCGAUGGCGAAGGCAGCCCCCUGGGUUAACACUGACGCUCAUGCACGAAAGCGUGGGGAGCAAACAGGAUUAGAUACCCAGGUAGUCCCUGAGCGGGCUGGCAAGGCGCAU